AGAAAAAUACUCAUAAUUGUAACUCAAAAACCAAAGGAAAAAGCAUGCAAUUUUUUUUUAAGAAAGCAAACCAAAACCAAAAUAGAGAAAAACUGAAAAGAAAACAAAUAAAUGGUUCACUCCCCCACACUUAAAACAUAGUCCUCAAUGAAAGAGCAUAAAUAUAAAAUAAGAGUGAGAAAAAGGAAAGAACACACCCGAGGAGUC
rnacentral:lncRNA from 1 species